rnacentral:rRNA from 1 species
UACGGAGGGUGCAAGCGUUGUCCGGAAUUAUUGGGCGUAAAGAGCUUGUAGGCGGUCUGUCGCGUCUGCUGUGAAAAUCCGGGGCUCAACCCCGGACUUGCAGUGGGUACGGGCAGACUAGAGUGUGGUAGGGGAGACUGGAAUUCCUGGUGUAGCGGUGAAAUGCGCAGAUAUCAGGAGGAACACCGAUGGCGAAGGCAGGUCUCUGGGCCACUACUGACGCUGAGAAGCGAAAGCAUGGGGAGCGAACAGG